ACAACAUGGCGGCCUUCAUGCUGGGUUGGCUGCUUCGGACGUUGAAGCAGAUGGUUCCUUCAUCAGCUUCAGGCCAAGUUCGAAGUCACUACCUAGACUGGAGAAUGUGGCGCGAUGUGAAGAGACGAAAAAUGGCCUAUGAAUACACAGAUGAGAGGCUACGUAUUAAUUCAUUCAGGAAGAAUACCAUUUUGCCAAAAAUUCUUCAGGACGUGGCCGAUGAAGAAAUCGCUGCCCUCCCCCCGGAUAGCUGUCCUGUUAGAAUCAGAAAUUGGUGUGUUAUGACGUCCCGUCCGCGUGGUGUGAAGUGGCGCUGGAGGCUUAGUCGUAUAGUCUUCCGUCACUUAGCUGACCACGGGCAACUUUCUGGGAUCCGGCGAGCAAUCUGGUAAAUGAGCUCCAGAACC